rnacentral:lncRNA from 1 species
CCGCCCUAAAAUCCCUUCGUCUGCUAAAUCCUCUCUAACCUCUCACUAAAACCCUAGCCCUACUCUGUUGGUUUCCACCUUGUUCCACCGGAGUCAAUGGCGUCCCAAGCCCUCGGUACCCUAUACUCAUCCCCAUGUACCCCAUACCCAUGUUACUUGAACGUUCAAGGUUUGAUCUUGAAGGUCUUCGCUCAGUUCUCCGCCGAUACGAGUGUUAAGGCCAUCUCUGGCUCAACUCCGGAAUAUCCUAGUCCUAUUUGUUCAUCUCUGGCUCAUUCGACUCGGAGCAAACCCUUUUUCCA